rnacentral:rRNA from 1 species
UACGGGGGGAGCAAGCGUUGUUCGGAUUUACUGGGCGUAAAGGGCGCGUAGGCGGUCAGCACAAGUCAGUUGUGAAAUCUCCGGGCUUAACUCGGAAAGGUCAACUGAUACUGUGCGACUAGAGAGCAGAAGGGGCAACUGGAAUUCUCGGUGUAGCGGUGAAAUGCGUAGAUAUCGAGAGGAACACCUGCGGCGAAGGCGGGUUGCUGGGCUGACACUGACGCUGAUGCGCGAAAGCCAGGGGAGCGAACGGG